CCCCGGCGCCACGAGUGGUCAUCACGAUUAUUGGGCCUAAAGCGUUCGUAGCCGGUUUGGUAAAUCUCUUGUGAAAUUGUUCGGCUUAACCGGACAGCGUGCAGGAGACACUACCAGACUCGAGACCGGGAGGCGCAAGAAGUAUGGCAUGGGGACUGGUAAAAUGGGAUAAUCCAUGCUAGACUACCGAUGGCGAAGGCAUCUUGCGAGAACGGAUCUGACGGUGAGGAACGAAAGCUAGGGGAGCGAACCG
rnacentral:rRNA from 1 species